AUAUUUUUUGAACAUUCUGGGAGAUUCAUAGAAUAUCAAAUGCUAUCUGGGUACUACAUGGCUGCGAAAAUGCGUGACAUUUUUGUUCCAGGUUCUCCUGACUUUAUCCAACGCCGCCAUUGAGCGAAGAUUAUACGUUGUGGCUAAUCUUCUAGAGAAGGCCAAUGGUACCAACAACAACACUCUCUACUACAACACUAACGUGGUGUUUGCUGACAAUGGCACUUUGGUGGCCAAGUAUCGAAAGAUCAACCUAAAUGAAGGCGAGUCGAGUUUAACGCCUGGGAAUGCCACAUCCAUAUUCGUCACUAGCUUUGGUACCUUUGCUCUAGUGACUGGAACGGACAUAUGGUUUUCUCAUCCAUCCCAGUCGGUGCUGGUGAACAACGGGGUGACUGACGUUAUUUUCCCCACUGCUUGGAAUUCGACGUUUCCUUUUCAAAUGUGUAAGUACCGCCUUCUAAAGUACGGUUUCGGUGGUGCGAUCAGCGAUUGCGACUUGGUGCUAAGCAUAGAUAAAGACGAGUGGAUCUGAGAGCAAAAUAGUACUAGUAAAUAGUACAGUUGCUCAUCAGCUCUCGUCAGAUGAACAACAGCUCUUCAAACGUUCCACUGUUUGACUGUUUUAUUAUUUGCUACAAGGUGUUUCACACUCGCGGUCCAACCUCGAGGUUGAAGCUUCACUGAGUGUGUGUUUUGCCCUCCCCCAGACUACCAAGAAAGAAAUUCGAGCUCGUAUCUCCCUCAGAGGCACGUUCAGGUCCCCCUUUUGGGCUCCGGAAAGCCCCUCAGUGCAGUGCCGUUCAGGAUAGUGUUCCUGAGUGUAUUUUGUGAUCGCCUUUGCCAGCUCUUGAAAUACCAGAAGCUUCUUCCUCCAGCGCAACUUCCAACCACAAAAUGAGCUCUCGCGAGCGGACCCCUUCAGGGUCCGAAAGCGACGAGUCGAACGAAUCACAAACUGAUCAAGGUAAGCCUGCAAGACGCCCUGCCCAAAAACCACGCACCCUGCUUUCUUUUAAAGCCAAAACCAAGUCCUCAGCGAAAUCGACGACAAUCAAAUUCCCCCUGACGCUCCUGCAAUCCCCCCCGUAACUCUCUCAACGCCCUAAUCGCCACCCUUAAAACCCGCACAAGUCCCGAUCCCGACCAAAUAACCAGCAAAAUCCUCAAACGACUCCCGGAAAGUAUCCUCAAUCACAUCCUCACCCUCAUCAACGCGUCCUUUUCGCUACGGAAAUUCCCAACCCCUUGGAAAACCGCCU